UACGUAGGGGGCUAGCGUUGUCCGGAAUCAUUGGGCGUAAAGCGCGUGUAGGCGGUCCGGUAAGUCCGCUGUGAAAGUCGGGGGCUCAACCCUCGAAUGCCGGUGGAUACUGUCGGGCUAGAGUGCGGAAGAGGCGAGUGGAAUUCCGUGGUGUAGCGGUGAAAUGCGCAGAUAUCAGGAGGAACACCAAUUGCGAAGGCAGCUCGCUGGGACGUUACUGACGCUGGAGACGCGAAAGCGUGGGGAGCAAACAGG
rnacentral:rRNA from 1 species